GGGACAAGUCUCAUAGACUUAUAAAGUCAAGAUGAGAUCACAGAGGAUCAUCAUCUGAAACUAGGCUUGAGAGUUAUCCAGAAACAGAUAAGGCUGGAGAAACAGACUAAUUAUGCCGGGGUGAGGAACCUAUGGCCCUCCAGAUUUCAACUCCCAUCAUCUGGUGCUGUUGGGAGUCCAGCAAUAUCUGAACUCAGCAAUUUCUGCAAUAGGUGCUCAAUGGAAUCAAACAUCCUUGUCAUGAUAUGUAUCAUAAUUGGACUCAAAGGACUGAUUUCCACAGCUGUACGCGUGCAAACUUGCAGAUGGAAUUUUUUAAUCUUCCUAUAUAUCAUCUCAUGUGUUGGUUUUUCUCAUGCACGGCCAAGAAUUGUUUUGACCCUUCUCUGCAGCUCUGUCAAAACUGCCACAGACUCUUUAGUAUUGUACUCUUUUUGUCAAGUUCCUUGGUUUGGUUUGGUUUUUUCUAAUGAUAUUGCUCCCAGUGCAUUGUUAGUUUUAAUUUUCUUGGGCUGCCAUAGUGCUUUUUGUGUUAUUCUUCCCAGUUUAGUGUUAUGUGCAAGUAUUGUUCAUUGGUCUGGUAGAAAUGAGUCCUUUGGUUUAACCAUUGGCCCAUUCUAUGGUUUGUUUAAUGUGAUAACCUUCUUGAACAUGGAGAUCUCUGAAUGACAUUUGGUAUAGGUGUUGAGGACACCGUUCUAGGUUUCACGCUCAGAUACUAGCUCUACCUCCAAUCCUGUUUUUCAAAGAGGCAAGGGUAAAUGGAAAAUGCAUUGUAAUGUGAUCUCUGCUUUCAGCACUGAGAUAAACAGAAUUAAAGCUGGUGUGCAUGUUCAGGGCACCAUAUUACAUGCCAAGUUCAAUCCCAGGUCCAUGACCCCCAUCCCAAUCUCUACACUCCCUGCUUCACAAACUCAUGAAUGUUGACAACCAACACUUGAAGAAAAUACGACUGGCAUCCAGAGCUUUUUCCCACCCUUUGGGUAUGUGCUGCUGCCCUUGCUAAGAAGCCAAAAAGUCCCUGGGACUUGACCAUAACUCAUUCUUUGGCAUCAUGAGCUAUGCCUUGGCAGUGAAUUCACCCUUGGCAUGGUGAGCUGGAAACUUGACACUGAUGCUCUUUUGGAAAUUCAGAGGUGUUGACAUCACCAGCUGACAUCAUCAGGGUGUGGAUCUCGAGCGUGAUCCUAAGAGGUGAUGGGUUGUCAUGUUCUACCUGAUCCAUAUUCAGCCGCCCGCUAACUGUCCUCAUGGCCUUUUCCCUUUCUCCUCUAACUCAGUGACAGCCAGGAUUCUUGAUUCAUGCCUUGUUGCCUUAAGGGCCUUUCCAGACUUUCUAGAAUGAAGUCUUUUGUUUGAACGUGUUAUUAUCUGGCUGUAAAAGCUCCCUUUCUUGGCAUCCAGAGGGACUGCAGAUUUCAACUGCUUGUUCUGCUUUUCAGUUAACUCAAGGUUGAAAGUAAAC